GAAACGCUGGUCUAGUCGAUAGAAGACAGAGCUGUAACCAAGAGUUACUUGAGUGGGCAUCUAAUUGGUGGGUGGAUGGGUUGCAACCCUAGGCUACUAGAUUGGAUAUCUAACUGGGCAAUAGUCGGGCACCAACCUAAGGCAACUUUAUUAGGAUCUUUUGAGGAUUAUUCGCCAUGCUUACCUGAUUGGGCAUCUAAUUGGUUGACGGUAGGGCUAAAACUCUAGGUUACCUGAUAAGAUGUCACUGGAUAAUUAACAGAGAUGUAAACAAGAGUUACUUGAUUGAGUAUCUCAUUUGUAGAUGCCAAGGCUGUAACUCAAAGCUACUUGACUGGGUAUCAAAUUAGUGGAUAUAAGAGCUUUAUCCCAACAUUACUUGAUUAGGCAUCUAAUUACAGCCCAAAACUACUUAAUCAAAAAUCUAAAUAGCGUUUGGUAAGACCCAAUUGAUGGAAUGUGUAGUUGAUAUUUGACAGUGCUGUAAUCCAGCAUUACUUCAGAUUGAGGGAUGGUAGAAAUGAAGUCCAUCCUUUUCUGAUUGGGCAUCUAACUGGGGGAUAGUAUUGCUGCAUAACCCAGUCUUAACUCAUUCUGAUUGGAUGUCUAGUUGAAAUGUAAUCCAGGGUUGCUUGACACUUGACAUAAUCUAACUGGUGGUUGGUAGGGCUGUAACUGAAGGUCAUCCUGACUGGGCAUCUGAUCAGUGGAUCAUAACCCAAGGUUAUUUGACUUAUUUGAGUGUGUAGGGCUGUGGAGGACUGUAAACCAAUGCUACUUGAUUGAGCAUCUAAACAUCUAAAUAAAAGGCUUUUUGAUUGUGUGUCUGUUUGAUUGAUGGUAUGGCUAUAACCCAAGGUUAUCUGAUUGGAUGCCUAAGCAGUGCUCAACCAUAGUUAAUUGAUUGGUCAUCUAAUGUGUGGAUGCUCUAACUGUAACUCAAUCUAAUUAAUGGAUGGUUGGGCUAUAACCCAAGGUUACUUGAUUGGGCGUAUAUUUGGUGAAUGGUCAGGCAGCAACUCAAGGUUACUUUGGGGUUUAGAUGAUGGAUGUUAAGACUGUAACCCAGGGUUAUUUAGUUAAUGGAUGGUUGAGGAAUAGAAGCUCUAACCGAUGGCUACAUGACUGAAUAUCAAAUUGGGGAAUGGUAGAACUGAACUCCAUCCUUACUUGAUUUAGCAUCUAAUUGGUGGAUAGUUGGGCUGUAGCCUAAGGUUAUUGAUUGAUGAGUGGGUGUCUAAUUGAUGAAGAUUAGAGCUAAAGCUCUUAGUUGAUGGAUUGAAGAGAGGGUUGAGGUGUCUAACUAACAGAAGCUGUAACCCAUGGCUACUUGAUUAGGUAUCUAAUUGGAGGACAGUCAGGUGGUAACCCUACAUUAAAUGAUUGGGAGGCUAUCUGGAUGAUGGUAGAGAUAUAACCUCAACUAAUUGAAGCUAAAGCUGAAACCCAACUUCUCGAUCAAUCAUCUAAUUGGUGGAUAGUUGGGCUGUAAAUCCUAAGGUUAUUGAUUGAUGAUUGGUUGUUUAAUUGAUGGAUUAAGUAGGUAGGUUGUAACCCAAAGGCUAUCUGAUCUGGUUGGUGGAACAGACGUCAUUCCCAUAUGCAUUUGCCCUAGAACUUCCCCUAGAAAAUGCUUUGGUUCGUGGCUUUUCAUCAAUAAUGUACGCUUUUAAGCAAACGAAUACUAUUUGCCAUUUUAACACGAUACUGUAGCAAUCGUUUCUUAUUAAGGAAUUCUUCGAUUAUUGAUUACUUGCUGCCAUUCUUUUUUGAAUAUCAAAGGGAAAGUGUUUUCUUUGAACAGUCUGUGUACAGUUUUUAUUUUUGUAUCAUGCCGGUCGGUGGUCAGGAUUAUCGAGGAACUAUUUACGAGAAAAUAGUAUAAAUAUUAGACUUAUCACUGCUUGUUUUUGUAUAUACUGUAAUGUUGGACUGUAAAUUUGAGUCGAUCACUCGAAAUCGAUCGUUGUCGUCGGCGGCGACUAAUCGCGUAUCACUUUUCACUUUUCACUUUUAGUUGUGACGAAGCGUAGUUGAUUUGUCGGAUUUUUUUGCAGAAGCACCCUGCGCUCUCUUUUUCUUCUCUUCUCGCUCAUCUCUCUCCCCCGUCCUGAACUUUUUUAUUUCAGGUUUACGGUGAAUAAAGACCCUCCCGCCAUCCUGAACUCGUGUAUAUUUGAUCUGUAUUUGAGAUUAGACUAAUCCUUGGUGAAUUCUAAGACUUGUCUGUACCAGCACUUUAUUUUGCUGUAGGUGGCGAGGUGGCUGACGUGGGUUAUAACGGUGUUUAGCUGGUGUUUCUGAGGGAUGCAGUAUCACUACUGUUGCACGGGGGAGACGCUCUUUACGGCUCGGUCUCCAAACUGUUGCCAGAGGAAGACGCUCGACGCUCGGCGGCGGCGACGGCGGCUGACGCUCACGAGAUUUACGAUAUUUCACACGACGACAGUCAAACUGAUCUGGGGAAGAAUGUGGCUUAAUAAUAAUAAUAUUAAUAAUAAUAAUAAAAAAUAUGUUUUAUUUGUAUUUGAGUCACUUUCUUCUCGUGAGAAUCCUUUAUGGAACGACUCUCUGGGCUUUAAUUAAUAUGUUUCUUGUUCAUAAAUUACGAUGAUGACGAUAUACAGAAAAAAAAAAUAAAAAUACACACCAGAAAAUGAUUGUAAUAUUUGUAAAUGACAUUGCUGUAUUGUGUAUAAUGUGUGCAAGUUAUUUUAUAUUAUAUUAUUUUUAUGAAAGGUUGUCCUCUGAGAGAACUGAGGUGUCAUUUUGUGAAUAAAAUGCAUUUAAUAAGCAAAUGGCUAUAUAUAUAAAACAAAUAUAUAUAUCAGUAUAUUUUUCUUUUCUUUCACUGUUCAGUACUGUAAAGUGUGUUGAAAAGACGAAUAAAGGAUGAUUUUUGUAAUAAAUGUGAUGAAGAUCAUA